rnacentral:rRNA from 1 species
GACGAACGCUGGCGGCGUGCUUAACACAUGCAAGUCGAGCGAUGAAGCACCUUCGGGUGUGAAUUAGCGGCGAACGGGUGAGGAACACGUGAAGAAUCUGCCUUCAACUCUGGGAUAACUACGGGAAACCGGGGCCAAUACCGGAUAUGAGCCUUGAUCGCAUGAUCGGGGCUGGAAAGUUUUUCGGUUGAAGAGGACUUCGCGGCCUAUCAGCUUGUUGGUGAGGUAAUGGCUCACCAAGGCGACGACGGGUAGCCGGCCUGAGAGGGCGACCGGCCACACUGGGACUGAGACACGGCCCAGACUCCUACGGGAGGCAGCAGUGGGGAAUAUUGGGCAAUGGAGGAAACUCUGACCCAGCGACGCCGCGUGAGGGAUGAAGGCCUUCGGGUUGUAAACCUUUUUCAGUAGGGAAGAAGCGAAAGUGACGGUACCUACAGAAGAAGCACCGGCUAACUAUGUGCCAGCCGCCGCGGUAA